AUAUAUGAUGAUAAACCAUUUUAGAUGUCUCGAAGAAUUUAUUUCAAUGUGAGCACACGAUUUCUCAAUAGACUACAACGGUAUCUGAUU
rnacentral:snoRNA from 1 species